rnacentral:lncRNA from 1 species
GCCCGGGACAGUGUUGUCGCCGCCGAGACCGCGUGGGCGUCCGCCGAAGCCGAGAGAUCCAUUCGCGCCGCCGGCUGCCUCUAAGAAGAAGAGUUCGGGUGGGAGUGGGAGGCCACGUGGCAGACCUCCUAAGAAGGCUAAGACUGCGCCGGGUCCGGGUCCGGCUCCCGCCUCAGCCGCGGCUUCUUCUGCUUCGGCUCCAGCUACCGGAGCGCCGAGAGGGAGGGGCCGGCCACCUAAAGUGAAGCCAGCUGUUGCGCCGGUAGCUGGUUGACUGAAAUUAAGCUGACGAAGAAGAAAGAAAGAGAAGGGGAG